rnacentral:miRNA from 12 species
AAUAAUUAUUUGCUCAGUUCA